CGAACGCUGGCGGCGCGCCUAACACAUGCAAGUCGAACGAGCGAGAGAGAGCUUGCUUUCUCGAGCGAGUGGCGAACGGGUGAGUAACGCGUGAGGAACCUGCCUCACAGAGGGGGACAACAGUUGGAAACGACUGCUAAUACCGCAUAAGCCCACGACCCGGCCUCGGGUAGAGGGAAAAGGAGCAAUCCGCUUUGAGAUGGCCUCGCGUCCGAUUAGCUAGUUGGUGAGGUAACGGCCCACCAAGGCGACGAUCGGUAGCCGGACUGAGAGGUUGAACGGCCACACUGGGACUGAGACACGGCCCAGACUCCUACGGGAGGCAGCAGUGGGGAAUAUUGCACAGUGGGGGAAACCCUGAUGCAGCGACGCCGCGUGGAGGAAGAAGGUCUUCGGAUUGUAAAGUCCUGUUGUUGAGGAAGAUAAUGACGGUACUCAACAAGGAAGUGACGGCUAACUACGUG
rnacentral:rRNA from 1 species